rnacentral:tRNA from 1 species
GCCCAGAUGGUGAAAUUGGUAGACACGCCAGCUUCAGGUGCUGGUGACCGCAAUACCGCAAGGUCGUGGAAGUUCGAGUCUUCUUCUGGGCACCA